rnacentral:sRNA from 1 species
GAAAUAAACGGAUGCGAUGACGAUCGGCUGGU